rnacentral:lncRNA from 1 species
CCCAAGGUGUCGUGCGCCGACAUCCUCGCGCUCGCCACGCGGGACGCCGUCGUCGCCGCCGGCCUGCCCUUCUUCCCCAUAACCCGGGGCCGCAUGGACACCCGCACGCCCGCUCCCGACGUGCUCGGGAACCUCCCGUCGCCAUCCGACUCGGUGGGCAAUCUCCUCGACAUGUUCCGCCGCAAGGGCCUCGGCGACGACCCGCGCGUCCUGGUGGCCCUCUCCGGCGGGCACACCGUCGGCAAGACCAGCUGCGGCCUGAUCAGGGGGAACGACGAUUUCUCCAGGGCCCUGGCGGCCAACUGCUCCGCCAGCCGGAGCAGGAAGCAGAGCCUGGACGUGAUCACGCCGGACGCCUUCGACAACAGGUACUUCGUGGCGCUGAGGAACGGCAAGGGGGUGCUCGGGUCCGACCAGGGGCUGGCCGACCACCCCAGCACCAGGGACAUUGUUAGGGAUUUCGCCAACGACCAGCAGCUCUUCUUCACACAGUUCCGCGCCUCCAUGACCAAGCUCAGCCAGCUGAAAGCGCCCGCGGGUGGAAGCAGGUUCGAGAUCCGCCUCGACUGCUCCAAGCCCAACGCCCGUGUCGGAGACGAAGACGAUGCCGCCGCCGGCC